rnacentral:lncRNA from 1 species
GGGGGGCGACCGCGCUGCGCUCCCGGCGCGGGGCCGCGUGUAUUUGUAUCGUGACCUUGAGCACGUCCCAGCUUUAACCUCCUCCAAAUUACAACUUGGAUCCUAAUCCCUGCCCUGCUUGCCCGCUGGGUGGUGGGGUAAUAUAUUCCGGUGGCAGCGAGACUGCCAACUCCCCCUGCGUGCCUGUGCUCAGCCCGCCCAGAAUUUUGAGGUAGUUCAGGCCCUGGCCUGCGACCUCCUCCAGGAAGGGGCUCUCGGGGGUUUAGGCUCCGCGGAGCCCGCCGUGCUUCGGGCGGGGGGCGCACUCGCCCCGCACGGCCCCCGGUGCUUGGCUCCGGGGUGACCCCAGCAUCUGGCCGCGGCGGGCCGCAGUCGUGACACCCGGCUACCCCAGGCGGGAGGAGGAGCGGGCCGACGCAAUCUAGGCUGAAGGGCAAGUCGUGUAGGUUACCCCGAUCUGCGGCCGUGGUGAAGGCGACCCCGAGUCGCGCCAGAGAGCCACCAGCCUCAGGGAAGGCACGGGUUUGACUGUCAGACCGACGCGCGGAGAGUCCUUAAAGGAAGAAGUCUCCCAACCCUUCACAAAAAUGUAAAACCGUCUGGAAGAGGAAACAUCUACUGGAUUGGAAGGAGAUAAUUGCAAAUAAAAGAUUGGCUAGCAAUAGAAUUCAAAGGACUAAAGAGUCUGUGUGAUGCUACAGAUGAAAGCUCUACCCAGAGCUGGAGCUGGGUCCUGAGCCACAGCAGACAUUCAUGGUGGUUGAUGAGCCAUCAAAGGUGGGCCUGAGGACCUAGUACCAUCAAGGUCUGCCCAGAUUUGCAUUUUGUCUUCACCCAAUAAUGAAAGAUGUGGGUUUUGGAGGAAAGAAGAUUUUAGUGAAUGAUGAGCCAUCAGCAGGCCGCUCUGAUGAUGAGAUACCCUGCCAGGUAAUUCCCAGUUCUCUGCUGCCCACCCCACAACUUCCUCCUUCCUUGAAGCUACUCCUCAAGGACAUCCUUGGCAAACAGACUUCCUUUUUGCCCGACCUAAAAAAGUGCUUUUAAAAAGUCCCAUGGUUAUUUCCCAUUUCCCAGCAAAUGUAUAUUUACAGUAAAUAAACUUGUAGAAUUGAUGGUUUGUUGAGCA